AAGUCGUAACAAGGUAUCCGUAGGUGAACCUGCGGAUGGAUCAUUACCAAUUUAUAUAUAUGUUAGUUUGCCUGUGGCUUCGGUCACUGGUAUUAACUACUAUGUAAACGUUGAACUAGAUCAAUUGGUGUGGAUUGCUUGGGAAUGGACGAAGCGAUGAGCCUCUUCCGGACAGGCAAGCCCCACACUGAUAACCUUUUUCAUAUCAUUUACUCGUAUAUACUACCACAACAACAAAAACAAAAGCUAUAAUAGGACUUAUUAACGGCUGAGUGGGUAACAUCCUCGGCUUAAACAUAUAACUAUUACAACUUUCAGCAAUGGAUCUCUAGGCUCUC
rnacentral:misc_RNA from 1 species